UACGAAGGUGGCAAGCGUUGUUCGGAUUUACUGGGCGUACAGGGAGCGUAGGCGGUUGGAUAAGCCCUCCGUGAAAUCUCCAGGCUUAACCUGGAAAGUGCAGAGGGGACCGUUCAGCUAGAGGAUGGGAGAGGAGCGCGGAAUUCCCGGUGUAGCGGUGAAAUGCGUAGAGAUCGGGAGGAAGGCCGGUGGCGAAGGCGGCGCUCUGGGACAUUUCUGACGCUGAGGCUCGAAAGCGUGGGGAGCAAACAGG
rnacentral:rRNA from 1 species